rnacentral:rRNA from 1 species
UACAGAGGGUGCGAGCGUUAAUCGGAAUUACUGGGCGUAAAGCGUGCGUAGACGGUCAUGUAAGUCGGUUGUGAAAGCCCCGGGCUCAACCUGGGAAUUGCAUUCGAGACUGCAAGGCUUGGGUGCGGAAGAGGGAAGCGGAAUUUCCGGUGUAGCGGUGAAAUGCGUAGAUAUCGGAAGGAACACCAGUGGCGAAAGCGGCUUCCUGGUCCGACACCGACGUUCAGGCACGAAAGCGUGGGGAGCAAACAGG